rnacentral:rRNA from 1 species
UACAUGUGGGGCAAGCGUUGUUCGGAAUUACUGGGCGUAAAGGGUGUGUAGGCGGUUUUCUAAGUCUGGUGUGAAAUCUCCCGGCUCAACUGGGAGGGUGCGCCGAAAACUGGAAGGCUAGAGUGCGGGAUGGGAGAGUGGAAUUCCUGGUGUAGCGGUGAAAUGCGUAGAUAUCAGGAGGAACACCUGUGGUGUAGACGGCUCUCUGGACCGCAACUGACGCUGAGACACGAAAGCGUGGGUAGCAAACAGG